rnacentral:rRNA from 1 species
UACGUAGGGUGCGAGCGUUGUCCGGAAUUAUUGGGCGUAAAGAGCUCGUAGGUGGUCUGUCACGUCGGAUGUGAAAACUCGGGGCUCAACCCCGAGCCUGCAUUCGAUACGGGCAGACUAGAGUUCGGUAGGGGAGACUGGAAUUCCUGGUGUAGCGGUGAAAUGCGCAGAUAUCAGGAGGAACACCGGUGGCGAAGGCGGGUCUCUGGGCCGAUACUGACGCUGAGGAGCGAAAGCGUGGGGAGCGAACAGG